rnacentral:rRNA from 1 species
UACGUAGGGUGCAAGCGUUAAUCGGAAUUACUGGGCGUAAAGCGUGCGCAGGCGGUUUUGUAAGUCUGACGUGAAAUCCCCGGGCUCAACCUGGGAAUUGCGUUGGAGACUGCAAGGCUGGAGUCUGGCAGAGGGGGGUAGAAUUCCACGUGUAGCAGUGAAAUGCGUAGAGAUGUGGAGGAACACCGAUGGCGAAGGCAGCCCCCUGGGCCAAGACUGACGCUCAUGCUCGAAAGCGUGGGGAGCAAACAGG